CACGUAGGUGGCAUGGUAAGUCAAAGGUGAAAGCCCUCGGCUCAACCCGAGGAAUUGCCUUUGAAACUGCUUUGCUUGAGUCCGGGAGGGGGGAGCGGAAUUCCUAGUGUAGCGGUGAAAUGCGUAGAUACUAGGAGGAACACCGGUGGCGAAGGCGGCUCCCUGGACCGGUACUGACACUGAGGUGCGAAAGCGUGGGUAGCAAACA
rnacentral:rRNA from 1 species